AACACCAUCAGUUGUACUGUUUAUAGAGUGUCCUACAACAAACAGGUGAAAGAGGGUGGGGACUUUUUCCCUUUUGUCCACGAGCGACUGCACAUAAACUUGCGGUUGGUCUAUAAACAGUGCUGUGUAGGCUACAUCGCACAGUGAGCCCACGCUUACAUGUGAUCGUUAUUUACUGCGUAACACUGAAAUUCCAAUUGGUCACUUCCUCUUGCUUCCUGUCUGGUUCCUUGGGGGAUUUUAAACUCCUUGCAACACAAGGGGGCUCAUCGCUUGAAGCUGCAAAACGAAAGUAUGUUGCAGACCAAGACAAGGCAGCUGAAAGCAAGGCAAAGUGUCGUGGCUUAUGGAGCUAAACUCUGAUGUUUAACAAAGCACCGUAAUGAGUGGGAAAGUCUGGAUAUUGAUCACUGCAGUUUCUUUCAUCACCCAUGUUUACCAUGUCCAGUCCAAGUGUAUGGAGCAAGACAUUAAGGCACAUCUGGAUGAGCUGUUGUUGGAAGGUCACAUGUUUCAGAUUAAGGUGUUCUCACCUGAAACGGAGGAACAUGCGCUUCUGUCAGUAAUAAAUACCCUCUGUACAAACUGGAAAAAUAAUAAGGAGAAGGAUAAAUUAACAGUUGUAAAAACCUUUUACAUAAUGCUGUAUAAACUAGAGGAAAAAUUUGAGGAAAAAAACUUUUGUGCAAAUCUCAAUUGCAUGGAUGCUUACACAGUACGUGGCAUUGACACAGCCACUUUUGGAGAAAUGUAUAGAAAAGCUUGCAAUGGAUCUGUAUCAGACCUGAAGUGUCCAUCAAAGAGCACACCUUUAACAACGAUCAGCCCAACUCCUGAAUUCAUUAAAGAUGACAAUCAGGGGGGUAAGUGUCAGAUCUGUGGGUCUUUCUGACCAAUUA
ensembl:lncRNA